rnacentral:sRNA from 1 species
GGAGGGCGCAUAUGAAUCGUAGAUUCAUAUUUAGGAUGCGCCCGACAACCUGCCACAGAACGAAGUGAUGUGGCGAUACCC